AUGUUGUACAGAUGAUUGUAUUUAUUUAAAAUGUUUGUGAUCAGUAUUAUAGUAUUUCGAGUGAUUAUUGUUUAUAUAGAUGUAAUAAACAUUCCAUUAGUAACAAGUAUACAAGUAUACAAGUAUACAGGUAUACAAGUAUACAAGGUGAUAUACCGAAUUAUUUUUUUAAAUAAUUUAAGAUACAAAAUGUUGUAGUCGUAUACAUUGCGACUGAACAAGUCUGAAUAUUAAAAUCUAUUUCGUGCCUUAAUGAUACAAACUUACAAAAUAAUUAAUAUUUAAUAUUAGUAUAAGUAAGAUAUAAUAACUGUGAUGAAGACGAAUAUGAUUUACUUUUAGUUUUGUGUGAAAUAAAAUCGUGUGAUGUUUUUA